rnacentral:lncRNA from 1 species
UGUUGGUUCUAAGUGUUGGCAGAAAUUUUGGUAAAACAAAGAGUUUCCACAAGAUGUUGCAUGUGAUGUCUUAACUUAAGAUAUCUGUGUACCUGCUGAAGUUUAAAAAUAUAAUUAUGCAGGAUUGUUUCAGGAUGUCAUACAUAAUGCCAUGGCAUCUGAUAUUAUGUACCUACUGGAAAUAAAAUAGAAUUAUGCAGGAUUGUUC